rnacentral:rRNA from 1 species
CAGUCGCCGCGGUAAUACGUAGGUCCCGAGCGUUGUCCGGAUUUAUUGGGCGUAAAGCGAGCGCAGGCGGUUAGAUAAGUCUGAAGUUAAAGGCUGUGGCUUAACCAUAGUACGCUUUGGAAACUGUUGAACUUGAGUGCAGAAGGGGAGAGUGGAAUUCCAUGUGUAGCGGUGAAAUGCGUAGAUAUAUGGAGGAACACCGGUGGCGAAAGCGGCUCUCUGGUCUGUCACUGACGCUGAGGCUCGAAAGCGUGGGUAGCGAACAGGAUUAGAUACCCCUGUAGUCCCUGUCUCUUAUACA